AAAGAUGGUUCUGCUAUCACUCUUGGAUGGACCUGCGGUGCAUUAGCUAGUUGGUAAGGUAACGGCUUACCAAGGCAAUGAUGCAUAGCCGAGUUGAGAGACUGAUCGGCCACAUUGGGACUGAGACACGGCCCAAACUCCUACGGGAGGCAGCAGUAGGGAAUCUUCCACAAUGGACGAAAGUCUGAUGGAGCAACGCCGCGCGAGUGAAGAAGGGUUUCGGCUCGUAAAGCUCUGUUGGUAGUGAAGAAAGAUAGAGGUAGUAACUGGCCUUUAUUUGACGGUAAUUACUUAGAAAGUCACGGCUAACUACGUGCCAGCAGCCGCGGUAAUACGUAGGUGGCAAGCGUUGUCCGGAUUUAUUGGGCGUAAAGCGAGUGCAGGCGGUUCAAUAAGUCUGAUGUGAAAGCCUUCGGCUCAACCGGAGAAUUGCAUCAGAAACUGUUGAACUUGAGUGCAGAAGAGGAGAGUGGAACUCCAUGUGUAGCGGUGGAAUGCGUAGAUAUAUGGAAGAACACCAGUGGCGAAGGCGGCUCUCUGGUCUGCAACUGACGCUGAGGCUCGAAAGCAUGGGUAGCGAACAGGAUUAGAUACCCUGGUAGUCCAUGCCGUAAACGAUGAGUGCUAAGUGUUGGGAGGUUUCCGCCUCUCA
rnacentral:rRNA from 1 species